AUGUCCUCUUGCCCAAUGUCAUUGGUGUAUAUACUAUCUUUCUUUCACUGUUCAGAGAAUUGCUUUGUUAGGGAUUAGUGCAGUGUAAUUUCUGGCUUGGACCCUGAUUUGACAUUGCCAGGUCCCCAGGCCUCACAGACUAGAUAAGUUUCUCUAGAAUGAUAGAGGCAGAGAUAGUGAAGAAUAAGUGAAGAUGCUGAGAUGUGUGUGUCCUCCAUGAGGACCACAGCUCCCUUUCACCUAUUCUUGACAAAGUCCCACCCCACACUUGGGAACCAGGGUAAGGAAUAAAACCACAGUGUAGAUUUAACUACUGCCUGCCUUUGAUAUCUUUCUGCCUCUCACAACUGGAUUGACUGAAAGGAAGGAUAAAAAGUAAGAAAUAAGAGAUGGAUAGGAAGAUGGCAGAAUAGAGGAGGUCAUGUUACUGGCUGCUCUGUGGUGUGAAACCAAGAAAGCAACCAGAAAGCUUCUCUGAGAGGUGGGUGAACAAAACUAUUAGCAUCAGAUCAACAUUGGCAUCACAUUCGCCAUUGUAGGUCAGGAGCCAUUUUAUCUAGAGGCUUCAAAGUUUGGAUUCUGAGGCAGUGCUGCUUAACUUCCCCUAGACCUGUGCCUGCUAACCGAUCAGCCCCACCGGGGUUUAUGAUGCAACUCCUAAGCAGCUUAGGAAUUCCUCUUGAGGGCUAUGAAGCUGCUCUGUGAGUGCCGACAUGUUGCUGUUCUCCUCAGAGGGGACAGUCUUGUUGGUUUGCCUUGUGCUACUGACAAUAAAUCUCUUGCAUGAGAUUCUGGUGUGUGGCAUGCUCUUUGGACUUUGUGUGGACUCUGUAAGUGUCCUUAAAAAAAAAAAAAGCUGAAGGGGACUUUACUGGAAUUUAAAACCAGGCAUUCAAAGCAGAUAGGGGACACAGGAA
rnacentral:lncRNA from 1 species